AUGAACGCUAGCGGCAGGCUUAACACAUGCAAGUCGAGGGGCAGCGGGGAGUAGCAAUACUCCGCCGGCGACCGGCGCACGGGUGCGUAACGCGUAUGCAACCUACCUUUAACAGGGGCAUAACACUGAGAAAUUGGUACUAAUUCCCCAUAACAUUCGAGAAGGCAUCUUCUUGGGUUAAAAACUCCGGUGGUUAAAGAUGGGCAUGCGUUGUAUUAGCUAGUUGGUGAGGUAACGGCUCACCAAGGCGACGAUACAUAGGGGGACUGAGAGGUUAACCCCCCACAUUGGUACUGAGACACGGACCAAACUCCUACGGGAGGCAGCAGUGAGGAAUAUUGGUCAAUGGACGCAAGUCUGAACCAGCCAUGCCGCGUGCAGGAAGACGGCUCUAUGAGUUGUAAACUGCUUUUGUACUAGGGUAAACGCUCUUACGUGUAGGAGCCUGAAAGUAUAGUACGAAUAAGGAUCGGCUAACUCCGUGCCAGCAGCCGCGGUAAUACGGAGGAUCCAAGCGUUAUCCGGAUUUAUUGGGUUUAAAGGGUGCGUAGGCGGUUUGAUAAGUUAGAGGUGAAAUACCGGGGCUCAACUCCGGAACUGCCUCUAAUACUGUUGAACUAGAGAGUAGUUGCGGUAGGCGGAAUGUAUGGUGUAGCGGUGAAAUGCUUAGAGAUCAUACAGAACACCGAUUGCGAAGGCAGCUUACCAAACUAUAUCUGACGUUGAGGCACGAAAGCGUGGGGAGCAAACAGGAUUAGAUACCCUGGUAGUCCACGCAGUAAACGAUGAUAACUCGUUGUCGGCGAUACACAGUCGGUGACUAAGCGAAAGCGAUAAGUUAUCCACCUGGGGAGUACGUUCGCAAGAAUGAAACUCAAAGGAAUUGACGGGGGCCCGCACAAGCGGUGGAGUAUGUGGUUUAAUUCGAAGCAACGCGAAGAACCUUACCAGGUCUUGACAUUGAUCGCGAUCUGCAGAAAUGCGGAGUUCUUCUUCGGAAGACGAGAAAACAGGUGGUGCACGGCUGUCGUCAGCUCGUGUCGUGAGAUGUUGGGUUAAGUCCCGCAACGAGCGCAACCCUUAUCCUUAGUAGCCAGCAGUUCGGCUGGGCACUCUAGGGAGACUGCCAGGGAUAACCUGGAGGAAGGUGGGGAUGACGUCAAAUCAGCACGGCCCUUACGUCCGGGGCUACACACGUGUUACAAUGGUAGGUACAGAGGGCCGCUACCCCGUGAGGGGAUGCCAAUCUCGAAAGCCUAUCUCAGUUCGGAUCGGAGGCUGAAACCCGCCUCCGUGAAGUUGGAUUCGCUAGUAAUCGCGCAUCAGCCAUGGCGCGGUGAAUACGUUCCCGGGCCUUGUACACACCGCCCGUCAAGCCAUGGAAGCUGGGGGUGCCUGAAGUUCGUGACCGCAAGGGGCGACCUAGGGCAAAACCGGUGACUGGGGCU
rnacentral:rRNA from 1 species